AGAAAAUGCAGUGGUCUCACAAUCUCAUUUCAUUUUUUCUCGUAGGAAGUUUGCAAAAGCUCAGGCCUUCUCUGAUGUCCAGUCAAAGGCAUUUUGGGGAGAAUCAGAUGACAGCAAUUCUGAGAUUGAAAUGGCCUUGCAUACUCUGUCCCGCAACACCAGUAGCAAUGACUUUGACAAUUUUUAUGAUUAAUGUUUCUCUAUUUAGAGUUCACACUGUCAAGUUUUUUUUUUUCAAUGAGUAAUUAAUAUGUUUCAGAGAGAUGCCUUUAUAUGAUUCAAAAGCAAACAAAAAUCUUCACAGAGGAAUGAGUGCGACAUUCCAUGAAAACAAAUAAGAGCGAUCCUCUUUAUUGUGGCCAAAGACUGUGAAGGGUUUUCAAAACAUGUCGGUGUUAACCCUGCUUGAAUCUCUUUAGCUGAACAACACUUGGACCUGGUUGAAAUAGAUUAAACUUUGUUUCUAAAGUGA